AUGGCUCAGGAUGAACGCUGGCGGCGUGCUUAACACAUGCAAGUCGAACGAAGCAAUUCUCACGAUCCCUUCGGGGUGACGAGUUAUUGACUGAGUGGCGGACGGGUGAGUAACGCGUGGGUAACCUACCUUGUACAGGGGGACAACAGUUGGAAACGACUGCUAAUACCGCAUAAGCGCACAGCUUCGCAUGAAGCAGUGUGAAAAGUUAUUUCGGUACAAGAUGGACCCGCGUCUGAUUAGCUAGUUGGUGAGGUAACGGCCCACCAAGGCGACGAUCAGUAGCCGACCUGAGAGGGUGACCGGCCACAUUGGGACUGAGACACGGCCCAAACUCCUACGGGAGGCAGCAGUGGGGAAUAUUGCACAAUGGGCGCAAGCCUGAUGCAGCGACGCCGCCGUGAGCGAAGAAGUAUUUCGGUAUGUAAAGCCCUAUCAGCAGGGAAGAAAAAGCGCAAGCAUUGACUGUACCUGACUAAGAAGCCCCGGCUAACUACGUGCCAGCCGCCGC
rnacentral:rRNA from 1 species